rnacentral:piRNA from 1 species
UAAUAGCACUUGUUCUUGCUGAGGAU